rnacentral:rRNA from 1 species
AGUCGUGGGGGAUAACGUAGACGAAAGCUACGCUAAUACCGCAUACGAUCUAUGGAUGAAAGCGGGGGAUCGCAAGACCUCGCGCGAUUGGAGCGGCCGAUAUCAGAUUAGGUAGUUGGUGAGGUAAAGGCUCACCAAGCCGACGAUCUGUAGCUGGUCUGAGAGGACGACCAGCCACACUGGGACUGAGACACGGCCCAGACUCCUACGGGAGGCAGCAGUGGGGGAAUUUUUAGACAAUGGGCGCAAGCCUGAUCCAGCAAUGCCGCGUGCAGGAUGAAGGCCUUCGGGUCGUAAACUGCUUUUGUACGGAACGAAACGGUGAGCUCUAAUACAGUUUGCUAAUGACGGUACCGUAAGAAUAAGCACCGGCUAACUACGUG